rnacentral:tRNA from 1 species
UCUCCGUAGCUUACACCAACCAAAGCAUGGCACUGAAGAUGCCAAGACGGCCGCAACAUGCACCCGAAGACA